CACAGCAGGGGUUAAAGGUAGAAUCAGUAAUAUUACAUCAUUAUACAGGCGUCCAUACAGAUCCUCCACCUAGAACACAGCAGGGGUUAAAGGUAGAAUCAGUAAUAUUACAUCAUUAUACAGGCGUCCAUACAGAUCCUCCACCUAGAACACAGCAGGGGUUAAAGGUAGAAUCAGUAAUAUUACAUCAUUAUACAGGCGUCCAUACAGAUCCUCCACCUAGAACACAGCAGGGGUUAAAGGUAGAAUUAGUAAUAUUACAUCAUUAUACAGGCGUCCAUACAGAUCCUCAGCCUAGAACACAGCAGGGGUUAAAGGUAGAAUCAGUAAUAUUACAUCAUUAUACAGGCGUCCAUACAGAUCCUCCACCUAGAACACAGCAGGGGUUAAAGGUAGAAUCAGUAAUAUUACAUCAUUAUACAGGCGUCCAUACAGAUCCUCCACCUAGAACACAGCAGGGGUUAAAGGUAGAAUCAGUAAUAUUACAUCAUUAUACAGGCGUCCAUACAGAUCCUCAGCCUAGAACACAGCAGGGGUUAAAGGUAGAAUCAGUAAUAUUACAUCAUUAUACAGGCGUCCAUACAGAUCCUCCACCUAGAACACAGCAGGGGUUAAAGGUAGAAUCAGUAAUAUUACAUCAUUAUACAGGCGUCCAUACAGAUCCUCAGCCUAGAACACAGCAGGGGUUAAAGGUAGAAUCAGUAAUAUUACAUCAUUAUACAGGCGUCCAUACAGAUCCUCCACCUAGAACACAGCAGGGGUUAAAGGUAGAAUCAGUAAUAUUACAUCAUUAUACAGGCGUCCAUACAGAUCCUCCACCUAGAAAACAGCAGGGGUUAAAGGUAGAAUCAGCAAUCUAUUACAGUGAUGUGCCUCCCUGCUUACAGAAAUGUUGUUAUUAAUGUCAGGAGACAAGAGGAUCUGGAAACAGGGCUAUAAUGAUG